rnacentral:rRNA from 1 species
CAGUCGCCGCGGUAAUACGAAGGGGGCUAGCGUUGUUCGGAAUCACUGGGCGUAAAGCGCACGUAGGCGGAGAUUUAAGUCAGGGGUGAAAUCCCGAGGCUCAACCUCGGAACUGCCUUUGAUACUGGAUCUCUUGAGUCCGGGAGAGGUGAGUGGAACUGCGAGUGUAGAGGUGAAAUUCGUAGAUAUUCGCAAGAACACCAGUGGCGAAGGCGGCUCACUGGCCCGGAACUGACGCUGAGGUGCGAAAGCGUGGGGAGCAAACAGGAUUAGAUACCCCAGUAGUCCCUGUCUCUUAUAC